AACGAACGCUGGCGGCAGGCUUAACACAUGCAAGUCGAGCGCCCCGCAAGGGGAGCGGCAGACGGGUGAGUAACGCGUGGGAAUCUACCCAUCUCUACGGAAUAACGCAUGGAAACGUGUGCUAAUACCGUAUACGUCCUUCGGGAGAAAGAUUUAUCGGAGAUGGAUGAGCCCGCGUUGGAUUAGCUAGUUGGUGGGGUAAAGGCCUACCAAGGCGACGAUCCAUAGCUGGUCCGAGAGGAUGAUCAGCCACACUGGGACUGAGACACGGCCCAGACUCCUACGGGGGGCAGCAGUGGGGAAUAUUGGACAAUGGGCGCAAGCCUGAUCCAGCCAUGCCGCGUGAGUGAUGAAGGCCCUAGGGUUGUAAAGCUCUUUCACCGGUGAAGAUAAUGACGGUUACCGGAGAAGAAGCCCCGGCUAACUUCGUGCCAGCCGCCGCAGUAACAC
rnacentral:rRNA from 1 species